GGCCUUGACAUACUAAGAACUUUCCAGAGAUGGAUUGGUGCCUUCGGGAACUUAGAUACAGGUGCUGCAUGGCUGUCGUCAGCUCGUGUCGUGAGAUGUUGGGUUAAGUCCCGCAACGAGCGCAACCUUUUCCUUAUUUGCCAGCGGGUCAUGCCGGGAACUUUAAGGAUACUGCCAGUGACAAACUGGAGGAAGGCGGGGACGACGUCAAGUCAUCAUGGCCCUUACGGCCAGGGCUACACACGUGCUACAAUGGUCGGUACAAAGGGUUGCUACCUCGCGAGAGGAUGCUAAUCUCAAAAAGCCGAUCGUAGUCCGGAUCGCAGUCUGCAACUCGACUGCGUGAAGUCGGAAUCGCUAGUAAUCGCGGAUCAGAAUGCCGCGGUGAAUACGUUCCCGGGCCUUGUACACACCGCCCGUCACACCAUGGGAGUUUGUUGCACCAGAAGUAGGUAGUCUAACCGCAAGGAGGACGCUUACCACGGUGUGGCCGAUGACUGGGGUGAAGUCGUAACAAGGUAGGCGUAGAUGA
rnacentral:rRNA from 1 species